UACGGGGGGGAGCAAGCGUUGUUCGGAUUUACUGGGCGUAAAGGGCUCGUAGGCGGUCCAUCGCGUCGGGAGUGAAAAGCUGGGGCUUAACCCCAGUCCUGCUUCCGAUACGGGUGGACUAGAGGUAGGUAGGGGAGAACGGAAUUCCUGGUGUAGCGGUGAAAUGCGCAGAUAUCAGGAGGAACACCGGUGGCGAAGGCGGUUCUCUGGGCCUUACCUGACGCUGAGGAGCGAAAGCAUGGGGAGCAAACAGG
rnacentral:rRNA from 1 species